rnacentral:rRNA from 2 species
AUGCAGUCGACGGCAGCANAGAGGAGCUUGCUCCUUGGGUGGCGAGUGGCGGACGGGUGAGGAAUACAUCGGAAUCUACUUUUUCGUGGGGGAUAACGUAGGGAAACUUACGCUAAUACCGCAUACGACCUACGGGUGAAAGCAGGGGANCUUCGGGCCUUGCGCGAUUGAAUGAGCCGAUGUCGGAUUAGCUAGUUGGCGGGGUAAAGGCCCACCAAGGCGACGAUCCGUAGCUGGUCUGAGAGGAUGAUCAGCCACACUGGAACUGAGACACGGUCCAGACUCCUACGGGAGGCAGCAGUGGGGAAUAUUGGACAAUGGGCGCAAGCCUGAUCCAGCCAUACCGCGUGGGUGAAGAAGGCCUUCGGGUUGUAAAGCCCUUUUGUUGGGAAAGAAAUCCAGCCGGCUAAUACCUGGUUGGGAUGACGGUACCCAAAGAAUAAGCACCGGCUAACUUCGUGCCAGCAGCCGCGGUAAUACGAAGGGUGCAAGCGUUACUCGGAAUUACUGGGCGUAAAGCGUGCGUAGGUGGUUGUUUAAGUCUGUUGUGAAAGCCCUGGGCUCAACCUGGGAACUGCAGUGGAAACUGGACAACUAGAGUGUGGUAGAGGGUAGCGGAAUUCCCGGUGUAGCAGUGAAAUGCGUAGAGAUCGGGAGGAACAUCCAUGGCGAAGGCAGCUACCUGGACCA